CAUUCCCCACCCCCCUCCGCAUUUUCUACCUGUGUGGUUCAUGUUGCUUCCCGUGCCACGAGGACCCCGCCAAUGCGGCCACUCUGCUUGUUCCCCCAGCUCAGUUCCUACCCCCGGUUGCGAGAGGAGACAGAGCGAAUCGUCACCACUUACAUCCGGGAACGGGAGGGGAGAACGAAGGACCAGAUUCUUCUGCUGAUCGACAUUGAGCAGUCCUACAUCAACACGAACCAUGAGGACUUCAUCGGGUUUGCCAAGUAGGUACUUUUGGAGACUGGCUGGUCGGGCGGCACCAAUCCUCACUCUCAGAUCCAAGGAGGUGACUGAGUUGGGAUUCUCUGAGAGGGCAGGUGUCAGACAGUCUCUGUCGGGGGUCCUGGGGUGAAGGCAGAGCCAACUGAGAAUAUCUGGAAGCUCUCCUGGGCUGAUAGUGGUCCACUGUCCCCAACCAACACGCCUUCUGUGAGGCAUCCCCAUGGUUAGUUUAGGGAGAGGGCA
rnacentral:sRNA from 1 species